CGCACCGCCUCAGUUUCGAGCCGAGUUUUCUGCCAUGCACACCACCGAACGCUUUUAAUAUUAAUAUUUUUCGAACUUAGGUUUAAGGCUAUUUAUUACGAUGUUUUUUUUUUUAUAAGUGUGCGUAGUGUAUUGGUUUUUUGUGUGUGUGCUAUUUAUUCUGUGCGACGUAUGUUUGCGUGUUCCCCCGUGCUAAUAUAGCGAAUAGUCAUGGCGACGUGCGAUAAUGUUACUGUCGAAGCCACGAUCUCUGCCACAGUCUCGGACAACGACGACGACCCCCACACGACUAUGACCCUCCCCAAGUCCGACGAUGGUGCGCAGUGUCGUGCCCCUGGAGAGUCGACCACGACCACGACGACGACGACGAUGAUGAUAUCAAGUCAAGGUGUGCAGGAGGAAACCCACAAGAAUCAGGAGGAGAGCAGUACGCCACACGCAGAAAAGAAGAGGUCUCUCUCCUUCAUGAGGAUGCCGAAGCUGAAGCGGGAGAAGUCCUACUCAGAGACCCUCGAGAGGAAGAAGAAGAGAGUGAAGUUCUCGCCCCACGAUGGUGACGACGGCGUCAUAGUGUCCACCCGCGUCUUUGAGCCUCAGGACGUAGACUCACGCCCGAGGGAAGACGCCCCCGCAGAGAACAAUCUUGUCUCCGCCACCAUCAAGAAACUCAUGAGAAAGAGUUCGAAGAAAAGGAAGGCGAGCAUCGAAACGCAGACGGAAGAUAAAAAAGAUGAAGACAAGGAAAAUGAGAAAAAUAACAGUAGAGCACCAGAAGGAACAUGUAUACAGGAAGUCGAGGAUGUGAACCCAUCGUCCCCCGACACCCAGAGUCAGCAGGAAGGUGACGUGACUCUUAGUGCUGAGGUCAGCAACCUGACAGACAGCACGAUCACCUCUGCUGGUGGUGACACGCCAGUGUCUCCAGCUGCCAGAGUCUCAGACGAGCUGGCGUGUCUGAGGCAGCCUUCCUCUAGGUUAAUGACACCUGACUCGUCUGACGGUGCCAGCUGUGACGUCAGAGCUGAGGCCGGAGUGCCAGCAGUGCCGCGUCCUGCGGUUAUUAAUGAAGAAGAUAUUACACAUUCAGGUGAUGAGCGACGUAUAUAUACCUCAGAGGAACAAUUAGAUACAGCAAUACCUGAGAACAGCAACAUGAACAAUUACAGAUUGAAAAUAAACAAUACACAUCUAAAUUAUCAAAAAUUACUGAGUGAAUAUGAAUACGAUUUAGGAGUUCCUCGCCAGGUGGCGCCCUUGUCUGAGGAGCAAGAGCUGGAAAUAAGCGAGUUCAGUAAAGCCGACGAUUCUCUGGAUAAUUCGUCAUCGUCGUGCGAAGAGCUCUUGGUCGUAACCUCGUCAGACAAGUGUAGUGCCACGUCCUCCCAGGUGACAGUGAAGCGCGAAGGGACCUUCACCCUCGACGGCCCUCCUCCGCCCAAGAUAACGAAGCCAUCCUGCGACGCUGCUGGUGCAGAUACCACGCCCUGCUCCAGGCGUCCUUCCAGGGAUAGUCUUGUAGAACCCCUCCAAUUCUUCGUUGAUUUAACGACACCAGAAUUAUCAUCUCCGAAAAAUUCUCGAAAACUUACUCGACGUUUAGAACAAAAUACUUGUAAAGAUGCUAGUUCGCUUGCAGCUAAACUUUCUCCCAAAAUGAUCAAGCAGACGAGAGCAAUAGAUCGUGGUAAAAAGGUUCAAGAUCAAAAUUCUACCAUAACUACUUUGAAAAAUAAUGCAAAGAGAACUUUUGUGAAUGCUUGGAGAACAGCCACCAAAACCCAGGAGGUGCCCAGAAAAUCAUUAAACCCCACCAUGAAGUCUCCUCGUGAGACCUCGACACCCAGGGACUCCCCAACCCAACAGGAGAAACCAACAAAUGCCAAUAACACCAAGAUUGACACAAAGACAGCGAAGUCCGUGAGCUGGGAGAAGCACCCGACGCCGAAGGAGACCCGGUCGCCGGCGAGACGCAGCCGUGAUCCCACGAAGGUGCUCCCGUGGCAGGAGCCCAAGAGGAGCCCAGUAUGGGGAGGGGUGUCCCUACCCACCUUCAGACGAGAGGGCACCUUCACCAAGAAGUAUGACUCGGAGAUGGAACGUCUGCAAGCAGAGUGUAACAGACUCAACGUCGAGAAGGAAAGGCUUCAGAGCGAAGUGUGUGAAGCACGCGCGAGGCUGGAGGAGGAGACGAUGGCCAGGAAGGCCCUCAGACGCACCCACGACCUCAAUCUCAGACACCUGAGAGAGGGCGAACUGAGGAGGACAGAGCUACGACUCCUAGAUCUCAAAAACAGACUGGAGGACGAGAGGCGCCAGGCCCUGGCCCAGCAGAAGGAUGCUCUGACGAGGACUCACGAGGCCGAUAUGAUGCGGACAGUCCGCGAGAGGGACGAGGACCACCGCCGCCAGUUGCAUGAAGCUAGACUUACCCAGGAGAGGCUCAAGGCUGAGAUACGGAGGGAGGCUUCCAGGUGCGAGCCCACACCAGUGCCAUGGUGCCACGCUACUGACCGGGACCUGGACCGGCUCAACCGAGACUUGUCGACGCUGCGCGAACACAAGAAGCGACUGGAGGAAGCCGUUCUGACCCUCCAGGAGAGCGAGCGCCAGCGGGCGAGUGAACUGCGACGGCUCCACGAGGAACAUGAAGCCGCCGUCGCCAAGAUCCACAGAGCCAACAAGUCUGAAGGCGCGCGCUUGUUGGACGAGCUCCGUGCCAGGGAGCGCACCAUUGGUCUGCUGGAGCGACAGGUCAGCGCUCAGGCCUCCAAACUCCGCCAACACGAGGACAAGACUCGCGGCGGAGGGUCUGGCGCGACGGGCAAGAAACAUAAGGAAGUAGCCUCAUGCAAGGAUGUCCGCCCCCGCGAGAAGGAACCAUGUGUCAGCCAAGCCAACACCAACAGCUCCAACCAGCAGCAACAGCAGCAGCAGCAGCAGCAGCAGAAGCAGCAGCUGCCCCACCAGUCAGGCACUGCACGAGAGGAGAACGUAGAGGAGGACAAGAGGACCACAACCCCCCGCCCUGACCACGUUAUCCAGCCACCAUCACCACCUCCUGCAGCUAUGGCAGAAGAGGUGGAGCAGCUUCGGGCCCACGUCGAGCAGCAGAGGAGCCAGAUGGAAGACCAGGUGCAGCAGUUAGAGCGUCAGAAGCAGGAGUGGGAGCAGCAGCUGCAGCAGUUUGAACUCCAAAAGCAGGAAUGGAAGGACCAGGUGCAUCAGUUUGAACUCCAAAAGCAGGAGUUGGAGGAGCAGCUGCAGCAGUUUGAACUCCAAAAGCAGGAAUGGGUGGAUGAACGGCAGGAGCUGUUGAAGCAGCUAGACCAACAGCAGGAACUGUUUGAUAAUGAGAGGCAGAGGCUGGAGCAGCAGGUCGAGGAGAGCCUGCUGCAGGUUGAAGAGCAGAGGCAGGUGAUGGAAGCGCAAAAGCUGGUGAUGGAGGAACAGAAACAAGUGAUGGAGGAACAGGAGCUGAGGAUCGUCGACCUCACCGAAGAAGUCAUGGAGCAAGAGUGCAUGGCUCACCCGCCCCCGACGACCUGGCCGCUACGCCGAGAGUCCUGUGUCAAGGUGUCAGAGCUGCCAACAGUGAUGGAACAGAACAGUGACGAAGAGAGCUCGCCCACGUCCACGCCCACCACCACCCCACACAACAACGCCCCGAACCAGUUCCCGGCCUUUACCUUGGAGGAGCCUCCUGCCACGCCCACCACCUUCCUCACGCCCACCACCCCUGGCACGGAGCCGCCCGUCUGGCCACAGGUUACCGAGAUGAGCAACCAUUAUGCGCAGUUAUCCAAGGAACACCAGGAGCUUCAGAAGUCGUAUCAGCUGCUGGCGUCCACGUCAGCCGCCACCUCCCCUGUCACCAACUUUCCGGGAAAAGAUGGGGCGGCGGCGUGGUGGUUGUCGGCGCGGGUGCUGGAGCUGGAGGCCCUGGCCGCCACACUGAGGGUGGAGCUGCAGGAGACCAAGGACCACGCUGACCUCCUCGAGUUCCGCUGCCUCGAGCUCACUGAGGGCUCCGAAAGGGGAUCGGAAGUGGAUGUACCACCGGUGGAGACUUGCGACCAAUCAACAGCCACUGAACUGGAUGACGUCAGUCUAGCAGUCACCAAUGAGGACUUGUCGCUGCCGCUCUCAAUAGACUCCGGACUGGAUAUCUCCAACGAUUAUAAGACGCGGGUGACUGAAGGCCGAGCGUGGUUGGCCGAGCUGUGCCAGGCCGUCGGGGAGCAGGAGUGUUCAGCCGCCCACCACCUGGCUGCCCUUCUCGACUGGGUGGCCACCCUGCCCACCCACACCCACCAUGCCUGUAACUCGCCCAUGAGCCCAACUCUGGCUACGCCCAAGACCAGGAUGGGCGUGGAGGAACUAGGCUGCGACCUGGGGCGGGACCUGACCGUCUUGGCUGCCCGCCUUCAGGAGUCUCUGGCUGACCCUGCCGCCCAGGAGUCUGUUCUGCUGGACACUAUCACGAAGCUGCGUCUGUUGGACACGACCCUGUGCCAGCUGCAGGAGCGGGUGGUGCACCUGACGGAGGAGAACCGCGAGCUGCAGGAGGCGGUGGCCAGCCUGGGCGAGGCCCACGAGACCCGCACAGAGGCCUCGGGCACCGAGAGUGAACUCGUUCACCGCAAGACGCCCUCCAUCCACUCUGACCUGAGUGAUGCCGAGAGUGACUCUCCCGAACAUGUCCAGGAGCAUCGGGCCGUGAAGAUGGUGAACGCCCUGGACGCUGCCACCAGCUUCCAGGAGUCUGGCAUCUUCGACACCUCGUGUGAGCUGGUCCACGUCACCACACAGACCGACCUGUCUCAGGUGAUGCCCGGGUCCGAGCACCAGCUUCACCUCCGCAAAUCCAAGUGCGAUAUCGAGCGGGCCGAGGUUGACCUUGAGAGCGCUGUGGCUCGUCUGGCCGCCAUAAGGGCUGUGGUACAGGGCCGGGACCUUAGGCACCUCAGACUCCAAGACCUUCAGGAGAGCGACGAAUACCUGAGGGCUGCCCUGGACGAGGAGCGGGUGAGUCUCAGCAAGCUGGAGUACGACAGCAUCUUGGAGGGCGAGCGGUGUCUCCAAGGGGAAAUCGAACACCUCAAGUGUGAGAAGGAUCAGCUAAUGCUCGAGUGUGACUCCAUCAAGGACCAAAUGAGGAAAUACAGAUCAGGCCGAGGAACAGACGCAGAGGAGACCCUGAAGGGGGAAAUCCGCGUCCUGAAGCAGCGUCUGGCCGUGUCCGAGAGGGCGCGACAGGAAGUGUUUGAUGAAAAAUGUGAAUUGGAGGAAGAGGAGAAUGACUCGCGUCUUAUGGUGCAGAGGUUGGAGUCACAAAUGGAGGCAGCACGAGAAAUGGAAAACUUGUUGAGUGCCUCCCUCUCCCAGGAGCAGGAAAUCUCCAGGGAGCUCCAUCGGCGAGUCAGAGACUUACAGAUCCUAGAGAAGGACCACCGGGGACGUCUUGAGAAGUUAGAGUCUGCAAGUCGAAGGGCUGAAGAGAAGGCAGCUACACUGUCCAAAGCCAGAGAUGAUUUGGCCAUGCAGCUUAACUUUGCAGCAUAUGGUUUAAUUAUAGCCAAUUAUUGGAGACAGACGGUGCCACAAUCGACUGCUGCUCUCGUCCAAUACAGUAGUAGCAAGACAUUGAAUGUGCUUCCUGAAAGAUGUCGCACGAAAACCCUCACUGAAGGAACUUUAGAUACAUUUGAAAUUUACCCUCGGAAGAGUAGCAACGGUGUGCCUGUGUCCCCCCGUGUUGUGUGUGAUGUCUGUAUUCAAACCUGUCUCGAGCCUCCAACAGCAAAUGCUGGCAAUCAAUGUUACUUCGAGUUCCCAAAGGAGUCUACAGCAAAAUAUGAGAUUCCGUCGCACGAGCAUGGUCAGCGUCGAGCUGCAGAAAGGAAUGAUGACGAGCCUGCGAAUAAACGACCAAGAAACAUCUCCACAAAGAGCCAGGCCACAAUGACCCUGAAAGCGGAGUCGCUUACUGAACGUGAACAGUUCUACCUGGAGCAGAUAGAGUCCCUGCAGAGGGAGAAAAUUAAUCUUAGGAAGGGUCAAGAUAAUGAGAGAAGGGAUUCCAUACAGCAGCACUGCGACUUGGAAGGAGAAAUAAAUGAAAUAAGAUUUGAGCUGGAAGAAGCCACUCGUGAUAAAUGUAAAUUAUUGUUCCGUCUAGAAGAGACUCAGGAUGAAAAAGAAGAAAUUAGGCGUAACUUGCUUGUACGAAUAGAAGAAUUAAAGGGAGAUAUGUCUCGUUACAAUGAACUACACGAGUUGGAAAAGAAAGCCUUGCGUAAAGAAUAUGAUGCUCAAUUGCAAGAGGUGGAGAAGGAGGGCAAACAACGAGAGGAGCGUGUACAGCAAUUGGAGCUCCAGCUUUCAACUUUCAGACAGGAAUUGGAGAUGGUUGGCAUUUCCAUUGCAAAUGAUCUUGACAUGGAUUCAGACAUGGAGAAUGUACAUUCCUGUGGAAGGAAGUCGCCUAUGAAGUGUAGUGAGGCCGAUGGUGACGUGCUGAAGAAGAUCAGAGAAUUGGUUAAAUCAGAAACUGACCUCAGACAAAAGAUUUAUGAUCUUGAGAAAAAGGAGUGUGCAUAUCGUGAGACGAUCCAUGAAGCUGACAAGAUCAUGUCCAGUCAUGUAACAUCGUACAAACAACGAAUAGAAGAGCUAGAAGCGGCAGCAGAUCAACAGACAUUGAAAAUUCAACAGUUGGAAGUUUCUGAAGAGCGCUUAAGGACCACUUUAAGAAAUAAUGCAAGAACUAGUGAAGGCGCUCGCAUUUCUGACCUCUUAGACCGCCUUAUUGAAAUUGAAAAUUCUGAACUAAAACUUAAAGAGCGUGUAUGGAACCUUGAAAGGAGUGAAAAGGAACUUCAAAUAAAAUUAAUGGAAGCUGAGAAAGCCAAUCAAGCACUGCGUGGAGAACUACGUGACCAGGAGGAAAUAGUUCAUCGCCUCAUGUCUCUGGAAACGGAGAAUAAUGCCUUAUCUCUUGAACUGAAUCAAGCUCAGGACUCUGCCCGAAAAGUGUCCGAAAUUCAGCAGAAUGAAAGCUACUUACGUGCUCGUGUAGAAGAACUAGAAGUUACAGAAAACAUGUUGCGAGAAACCCUUCAGCAAGCAGAUGUUAUUUUGGCUCAGAGAGAGAGAAAGCUUAGAGAUCAGGUGGAAUCUCUCCAAGAAGAAGUACAGGCAUACAGGGCUCAACUCGAAGCUGCAGCAUCCAAGGAAUAUGGUGCAAAGGAGUCAGAGGUGUCCUACAAAAAACAGCUGGAACAGUUGCGUAACCGCUUAGCUGACACUGAGCGAGAGUUAAAAGAAUCAUCCUCGGAGACAAUCAGCCAUGAAACGCAGCAUCGUUCAGAGGUAACAAAACUUCGCAAUCAGUUGAAGUUGUGUAACUCCCAGUUAAUGGAACUUGACCGGCUGAACUGUGAAUUACGAGACCGAAUAGUGGCUGCAGAAGCGGAAGGCGAGCGUUUAGCCAAGCAACUGGAAGAAAGUAGUAGACGCCAUGAGCAUGACCUACUUGCACUUAACCUCCAGGUAUCGUCUCGGGAUUCCCAUAUGGAGGAACUUGAGCAUCAGCUGGACCAGCUGAGUCAUGAACAUGCUGCUAGUGAACUGGAUGCCCUGGCUGCAUCACCCAUUGCUGCGCUUCAUUCUUCCAUCACGACUCUAACUACAGCUCUUAAGAAUUGCGAAACGUGUAAUGCAACUCAGAGUGGAACCCUGACAGAAGUAACGAAUCAGCUGGGCACUCUGGUUGAGCUUGUAGAGGGUCAGCCUAACAAUCCAAACAUGGCGGACAUUACUUCUGAUGCUGAUGAUGAAGACGUAUCAGAUUCUUAUGACACAGACACAGCAGAAAACUUGGCCAACGAAGCCACUACGACCCCCCCUCCCAACCCCGCCGGGGAGGGGAUAAGGGAACAGUUGAGCGGGGAAAUUGUCCACUGCAUCACUGGAGGGAAAUUUCAAAGAAAUACCCUCCGGAGAAGCAGAAGGCGACUAGAGGAGCGCAAUAGCAGAAGGCUAAUGCGCACUCAGAGCUCUUCAACAAUUCUGGAGGAGCUGGAGGAGAAGGUACGGGAGAUGGAGGAGGUUGUUGGUCGCAAGGAGGAGGAGCUCCGCCUGGCUGAUAUUGAAGCUUGUGAACUAAACAGUCAGUUACAAUCUCGGGAUGUUAUCCUCACACAGAAGUGUGAAGAUGUGGAGCAUCUGAAUGCCACCUUGGCCAGUCUUCGGCAGCAACUGGUGCACACUAUGGAGGAUGCCGAGCGUACACGGCUCUCCUUACAGGCCAAACAUAAGGUUGACUUAGAGGAGUUAACAAGACGUGUGGAGCAGCUGACAGAGAAAGUUGAACAUCUGGCUCGUCGGGGCCAACUCAAAGAUUCUAUCAUCUCCACGCUUGCCUUACAGAUACGUGCAAUUCUCAGAUCGGGCAAUAUGGGUGUAGUAAUUAACCAACUACGCCGGCUGAGUGAGGUGGGCCCGAGUGACCAAUCGGCAGGCAAGAGUGAUACUGAUCCCGAACAUAUGGCUGCUGCUAGCCCACUGCCUGCAGUGCCAGACUUUGAUGUUAAUGCUCUCUGCUCGUUUCUCAGCCAACCAAGUGAGGACACGACUAUCUAAAAAGAAAAACAAUUGGAAUAUGGUGAUAAUCUGAGGCGGAUUAGUGCCACUCCUAUUGGAAGGUUGAUGUUGGUUUGAUGAGAGAUGGUGAACAACUGUUUCUAUCAACAGAUCAAGCGAUGGCUUCCUUGUCUCAAUGUGCCAUCUUGAAUGGGAUGGAGCCAUCUUGUCCCGUGACCCUCGAGUCUGACAUCUCAUUAGCUCCUUCUCAUAAUGGGUUGGGGCCUUCUUGUCACGUGACCUUCCAAGGCUCUCCCUCAUUGGCUCAUAGAAGAAAGUCUCGUAUACCACGAUUUUUGCCCUCUACUGUGCACAGCAUAAAAUCUGCUACUGCACCCAAACCCAU
rnacentral:misc_RNA from 1 species